GUGAAUCAUCAAAUCUUUGAACGCAAAUUGCACUCUCUUCGGAGAGUAUGCCUGUUUGAGGGUCAGUAUUAAUAGAAAAUCGGUUUGUUUGCAAAUUGUGACGUUUCCGGAGUUUGGGCUAUAUUAACUUUUUUGGUUAAGGGGCUUAAAAUUGAUCUUAUUUGUGCACUUUUAGACGUACAUAAAUUUUUUUUUUAUUCGAUUAUUCUUAAUGCCAAUAUCUUAUUAGAUUCGAUCACAUAGUGUGAUUUAGUGUCAAUA
rnacentral:misc_RNA from 1 species